rnacentral:rRNA from 1 species
CCUACGGGAGGCAGCAGUGGGGGAUAUUGCACAAUGGGGGGAACCCUGAUGCAGCGACGCCGCGUGGGUGAAGGAGUGCUUCGGCAUGUAAAGCCCUAUCUGCAGGGAAGAACCAAGACUGUACCUUACUAAUAAGCCCCGGCCAACUACGUGCCAGCAGCCUCGGUAAUACGUAGGGUGCGCGCUUUAUCCGGGUUCACUGGGUGUAACGGGAUCGUAGACGGUCAUGCAAGCCAGGGGUGAAAGCCCGGGGCCCAACCCCGGGACUGCCCUUGGAACUGCAUGGCUAGAGUGCGGCGGCGGCAGGCGGAAUUCGUGGUGUAGCGGUGAAAUGCGUAGAUAUCAGGAGGAACACCGACGGCGAAGGCAGCCUGCUGGACCGCGACUGACGUUGAGGCACGAAAGCGUGGGGAGCGAACAGGAUUAGAUACCCUGGUAGUC